rnacentral:tRNA from 1 species
GCGCACCCUUCGUCUAUCGGUUAGGACGACAGAUUCUCAUUCUGUAAAGAGGGGUUCGACUCCCCUAGGGCGUACCA